UUAUCAUGACGUUUUGUGACGGCCUGCCUGAGCUCCUUUCUCCCAGCUGCCAUUAGUGUCUCCCCUGACCCCCUCAUUCAGUCACCACCCCUUCAGAUUAUUAUUAUUAUUGUACUUUUAUUUUAAACACAUGUUGCACACUGCACAUUGCACUAUAUGCACAUUGCACUGUAUGUGGGUUAAUUUCAUGCUGUGUAUAGGUAUAGUGUUGUUCAGUAUUGCAUUUGUUGAAUAGUCUUGUGUCUUUUCCUAUUGUAUAUGUACAGUUUGAUGUUACUUUUUGUGUACACUGCCGUAGCUCUUUUGGAAUUUCCUUCGGGAUCAAUAAGGUUCUGACCUCCAUGGAAUAUUAAAAGCACAAACUAGAAGAGAAAGCCGCUGAGCAGCUGACAAUCAAACAUCGUUCCAAGGUCAAAGUGGGCGUCGUGUCUUUCCAGCGAACACGCCAUCAUUCUUUUCAUUAGUGACAUUUCACAAAGCGGAUGUAGCGGCAGAGUAUGGGGACACCAGACCUUCCGGACAGACAAGGCUGGGAAGAAUGAGCGCCUCAUUCAGGCUAAUUGUUUUAUUCUUUAUUGUAUAAACGAUUACAGCACUCACCCAAGCAAAAUGGGAGACACUUGUCUUCAUUUUCAUUAUAUUCAACAUACAAAAGAGACGUCCAAGACAAGCCACUCCAUGCAGAAUUGAGUGCUCACAUCUCUUACAUUUGAAAUACUCCAGCUGAAUCUUGCUGGGUUCAUAUUUACAUAAACACGCAAAGCUUAGUCUCCUGUGUUUCUGCUAGCUUGUGGUACUGGUCCUUUGGAAAACAGUAAAUAGAAGGACGGCCUGA